CGGAAAUGGGAGAGUACGUCACAAAGGUGUACAGAAAACCUACGUAUAUUCCUAUACUGAUUCCUGCAUGGUCCUCAGACCCCAUAUCCUAUAAACUUGCAGCCUUCCGGGCGAUGUUCUCCCGUGUGUCCACCCAUAUCACCAUGUGGUCAGAUAAAGAGAGGGAACGGCAAUUCAUUCACAGAAUAGGAAGCAAGUACGGGUACUCCUACAAAGUGAUUGAAGGACUAUGGAAAAGGUCUACGUCCGCCACAAAGAAGGAAUCAUAAUGAUGCCACAGACCAGAGACAUAUUAGGCCUAAGUAUGUUAAAAUCACGUAUGAUAGUGAUGUUGUUAGUACCAUCACCAAACAUCUCCCUAGUGAUGAGCGGUGUAUAUUGGUCAUGAGAAGAGGCCAGACUGUAUUCGAUCGGAUAAGAAACGACAAGGACCAUGUACCAUAUGAUAGAAAGGCUGGAAUAUAUGGCAUUCCAUUAUAUAACAAUGAUGAAGAAUGCACACAGUGGU
rnacentral:lncRNA from 1 species